GCCAGGCAUGGUUACUUAUACCUGUAAUCCCAGUUAUCAGGGAGGGUGAGACUGGCAAAUCUCUUGAGUUCAGGGGUUCCGAGUUGUGGUGGGCUAAGCUGAGUGGGUGUCCAUACUAAACCCAGCAUCAAUAGAGCGCGCCCCCUAGCAGAGGUAUACCUAGUUGUCUAAGGAGAGAUGAAUCCAGCCAGGUUGGAAAGAAGCAGGUCAAAACUCCCAUGCCAGUCAGUAGUAGGAUCAGGCCAGUGAGCAGCCCUUGUACUUCCAGCCUGAGAGAGAGAAGAGAACCUUGCUCUUA
rnacentral:SRP_RNA from 1 species